GCGUGAACGAUGAAGGCCUUCGGGUUGUAAAGUUCUUUUGACCGGGAUGAGGAAGGACAGUACCGGUCGAAUAAGUCUCGGCUAACUACGUGCCAGCAGCCGCGGUAACACGUAGGAGACGAGCGUUAUCCGGAUUUACUGGGUGUAAAGCGCGUGCAGGCGGUAUGGUAAGUUGGAUGUGAAAGCUCCUGGCUUAACUGGGAGAGGUCGUUCAAAACUACCAGACUAGAGGACAGCAGAGGGGAGUGGAAUUCCGAGUGUAGCGGUAAAAUGCAU
rnacentral:rRNA from 1 species